GGGGAUGUGGCUCAGUGGUAGAGCAUUUGCUUAGCAUGUACAAUGCUCUGGGUUCAAUGUCCAGCAUCACAA
rnacentral:tRNA from 1 species